CCUACGGGUGGCAGCAGUGAGGAAUAUUGGUCAAUGGACGAGAGUCUGAACCAGCCAAGUAGCGUGAAGGAUGACUGCCCUAUGGGUUGUAAACUUCUUUUAUAUGGGAAUAAACUGUUCCACGUGUGGGAUUUUGUAUGUACCAUAUGAAUAAGGAUCGGCUAACUCCGUGCCAGCAGCCGCGGUAAUACGGAGGAUCCGAGCGUUAUCCGGAUUUAUUGGGUUUAAAGGGAGCGUAGGUGGAUUGUUAAGUCAGUUGUGAAAGUUUGCGGCUCAACCGUAAAAUUGCAGUUGAAACUGGCAGUCUUGAGUACAGUAGAGGUGGGCGGAAUUCGUGGUGUAGCGGUGAAAUGCUUAGAUAUCACGAAGAACUCCGAUUGCGAAGGCAGUUCACUGGACUGCAACUGACACUGAGGCUCGAAAGUGUGGGUAUCAAACAGGAUUAGAUACCCGUGUAGUC
rnacentral:rRNA from 1 species